UGAAUACGCCACUGUGUACAUUACAGAUUUCUUUUUUUCAGCAGAGCCUAGAAAAGGCUGUUGUUGAGAGCAGUGAGGUUGAAGAGGCUACUGGGAGUGAAGUGGAGGCUGUUAGAAGUAGUAUGGAGGCUACGGAGGCCAUGGACGAGGCUGAUAUGUAACUUAUCAGUGUCAUCUCAAUAGAUGAGUCCUGAACGUACAAAUACUUCUGUGGUCUCCGUUUUAUUCUGAUCUUAUAUUAUAUUCUAAAAUAACUUUUUUUGAGUGGACAACAUCACCCCAUGUAAUGAUUUAAAUAGGAUUUAAACUUUAGAAUCUGACUUAUAAUACAUUUUAGAAAAUAAUUAAUAUACCAGCCUCCCCCCGCACCCGGACAAAAAAAACGGUUAAUUGAAUAUAAAUCAAACUUUGAUUAAGGGCCCCAAUUGCAGAUUUCUUGGAAAUCCAAAAUAAUUUUAAUUAACCCUUGGUCCAUUUUUGUCUUAGCUAGCUGAUCUACUCCAAAGUCAUUCGCCAACUUUCCCCUUUUUUAUGAACAAUUUUUAUGUUGUUUUGUCAUGUGUUGUGUUUACUUUGUACUGUUAAGUACAUUGUACCUUUUACUGAUUAUGUACUCUUUCCGUACUUAAGUAAAUAAAUUUGUAUUUUGUA